AUUGACUCAGGUCUGCUCCUUCAAGUUUUAAAUCUUAUCUCCAGAAUUUAAUUAUUAUUAUCAUUUCUGCAAUGAACAUUUCCAAAACCUUUGUGUUUUCCUUUGUGCUUAGCUUGCUUAGCCUCACCGGCGAAGCAGCAGUAACGUUCUUGUAUUACAACUGUCCGAACACAACUACUUUCACUCCGAAUGGGACUUACCAACAUAAUCUCAAUUCCCUCCUUUCUUCUUUCUCUUCUAAUGCUACCCGCGACAAUGGAUUUUACAACCUCACCGUUGGUGAUCAUGGCUCUACAGACAUCGUGUACGGCCUCUUCCUCUGCCGUGGUGAUGACACCAAGGACAUCUGUCAAGAAUGCGUCACAACCGCUGCUAAAGAGAUAGUUCAACGUUGCCCACGAGAAAACGUCGCUUUAAUUACUUACGAUGAGUGUAUGCUGCGUUACUCGAACCAAUAUUUCUUUUCUUCGGUGCAAAGAGAGCCCGAUUUACAGCUGUUGAAUACGCAGCAAGUUUCAGAGCCCGGGCGAUUCAUGGACUUGCUGGGGAAAACGAUGGAUAAUGUUACUGCACAAGCCGCGAAUGAUCCCUCUGGAAAGAGGUUUGCUACAGCGGAAGCUAAUUUCUCAAGUUUCCAAAAGCUGUACACCCUUGCACAGUGCACGCAGGAUUUAUCUGUGGGUAGUUGCACUGAAUGUCUUCAGGCGGCCGUGGAUUACCUUCCGGGUUGCUGCAACGGGAAGCAAGGAGGAAGGGUUAUAUUUCCAAGCUGUAAUGUUAGGUACGAGCUAUACCCAUUUUACAGGGCUGUAGCUCCACCGCCAUCGAUGCUUCUGCCAUCCCCUUCACCAGGGCGGAAGGGCAAAAGGCAAGUCUCAACUGUAAUUAUUAUUGCCAUCGUUCUUCCAAUCGUAGUCUCUGUGAUGCUUUUUGCCAUAGGCAUCUGUUAUCUAACUAGAACCAGAAAGGGAAGCCUCAAGUAUGAUGGAGUGCCAGAUAAAAGCGGUGGGAAUGAAAUUACAACCUCACAGCCCCUGCAAUUGGACUUGGCCACCAUUGAAACUGCAACAAACAACUUCUGUGCUGAUAACAAGUUAGGUGAAGGUGGAUUUGGUGGUGUUUACAAGGGCACACUUCCUAAUGGGCGAGAAAUAGCUGUGAAGAGACUGUCAAGAAGCUCUGGGCAAGGGGCAGAAGAAUUUAAAAAUGAGGUGUUAUUGUUAGCCAAGCUUCAACACAGAAAUCUUGUGAAGCUUAUUGGAUUUUGCUUGGAGGGAGAAGAAAAGAUUAUUGUCUAUGAAUUUGUUCCCAACAAAAGCCUUGACUACUUUCUUUUCGAUCAGGAUCUUCUAAAAUGUCUAACUGUGGUUUUGCUCAUGAGGAAUGCAGUAUUUGCAUUUGCACUCAAUCUAACAUGCAGAUCUGACUUUUGAUAUCAUGGAUAUGUAGACCCUGAAAAGCAAGGACAAUUGGAUUGGAGAAGACGUUGGAAAAUAAUAGAAGGAAUUGCUAGAGGGUUUCUUUAUCUUCAUGAGGAUUCUCAACCUAGAAUUAUACAUCGCGACCUUAAAGUUAACAAUAUUUUGUUAGAUCAAGAUAUGAAUCCAAAAAUAGCAGAUUUUGGUAUGGCUAGAAUUUUUGGAGGGGACCAAACGGAGGCAAAUACAAAUAGAGUAGCAGGAACAUAGUAAGGACCCCUACACUUGACAUAUAUUUUACAUUUGGCGUCAACUGAAAUCCAAUUAUUGCAUGGUAUUUUGCAGUGGUUAUAUGGCUCCAGAGUAUGCAGUGGAUGGGCUUUUCUCAAUGAAAUCAGAUGUCUUUAGCUUUGGUGUAUUAGUGUUGGAGAUAGUAAGUGGGAAGAAAAAUAGAGGAUUUUCUCACCCAGAUCACAACCACAAUCUUCUUGGACAUGCGUGGAAGCUGUGGAUUGAAGAGAGGCCAUUGGAACUAGUGGAUCAUAUGUUAGAUUCUUUUGCCACAUUCGAAGUGUUAAGAUGCAUUAACGUGGGCUUGUUGUGUGUUCAACAAAGGCCGGAAGACAGGCCAAACAUGUCAUCUGUGGUCGUAAUGUUGGGUAGCGAGAGCUCAUUGCCUCAACCGAAGCAACCUGGCUUUUUCACAGAAAGAAAUAUGCCUGAAGCAGAAUCUUCAUCAAGUGGGCAUGGAUCAACAUCAGUAAAUGAAAUGAGUACCUCAUUUCUAGAGCCCCGGUAGAAGAUUACCACUCAGGUCUCAAACCCUAGUGCAGAUAUAUUUCUAAUCAUUAUCCAGCAUGUAAUAUAUGAAAUAGAGAAUAAGUUGAGCUGCGGGAAUGGCAAAGUCUCAUAUAAUUUUCCUCAUUGACUGGUCUGUUGCAACUUGUGAGUACAAAAGUAGUUUGAUCUCCAGAUGUGCAAUAUAAAUGCUAGUGUGCUUUGUGUCAAUAAUUGUAUUUUAUUGUGUUAUGCUAGUGAGGAGGGCAAAAUGUAACGGUAAUAAUGAAAAACUUGAAUAUUAUAUCUUUUAGGAUGUGUACGGUUUUUGGGUCUCGAACUGAAGAAUUAUAUCAAACAGAUAGGAAUCAUACCAAACUAAUGUAACGCUCCCACCGUUGGUAGUCCAUACAUUUUACUGUUCCGACGACUAAUGUCUGUUCGGACAGUCAGGAUGUCUGGAACUACACUUAAACUAUAGUGAGGAGGCAUAAAUUAAUGAAAUAAAUAUUAAAAAAAUAUAGGAAAAAUUUUGAGAAAUAAAAUAAAAUUUAGAGAAUUUAUUAAUUGGUAUAAAAAAAUAAAAAUAAUCCGAUGAGCACCAUGAAAGGCAUUUUAAUCAUUUUACCCCUAGAGGUAAAUUUUGACUUAAAUGUCAAAUUAAAAUUUGGAAAUAGAAUAAUUAACAUAAAUUAAUUUUAUGAAUUUGAAUUUGGAAAAUGG
rnacentral:misc_RNA from 1 species